ACAGCAGCAGCCGCGGUAAUACGAAGGGUGCAAGCGUUAAUCGGAAUUACUGGGCGUAAAGCGUGCGUAGGCGGUUUGUUAAGUCUGCUGUGAAAUCCCCGGGCUCAACCUGGGAAUGGCAGUGGAUACUGGCAAGCUAGAGUGUGUCAGAGGAUGGUGGAAUUCCCGGUGUAGCGGUGAAAUGCGUAGAGAUCGUGAGGAACAUCAGUGGCGAAGGCGGCCAUCUGGGACAACACUGACGCUGAGGCACGAAAGCGUGGGGAGCAAACAGGAUUAGAUACCCGAGUAGUCCCUGUCUCUUAUAC
rnacentral:rRNA from 1 species